GACGAACGCUGGCGGCGUGCUUAACACAUGCAAGUCGAACGAAGAGCGACGGAAGCUUGCUUCUAUCAAUCUUAGUGGCGAACGGGUGAGUAACGCGUAAUCAACCUGCCCUUCAGAGGGGGACAACAGUUGGAAACGACUGCUAAUACCGCAUACGAUCUAAUCUCGGCAUCGAGGAUGGAUGAAAGGUGGCCUCUACAUGUAAGCUAUCACUGAAGGAGGGGAUUGCGUCUGAUUAGCUAGUUGGAGGGGUAACGGCCCACCAAGGCGAUGAUCAGUAGCCGGUCUGAGAGGAUGAACGGCCACAUUGGGACUGAGACACGGCCCAGACUCCUACGGGGGGCAGCAGUGGGGAAUCUUCCGCAAUGGACGAAAGUCUGACGGAGCAACGCCGCGUGAGUGAUGACGGCCUUCGGGUUGUAAAGCUCUGUUAAUCGGGACGAAAGGCCUUCUUGCGAAUAGUGAGAAGGAUUGACGGUACCGGAAUAGAAAGCCACGGCUAACUACGUG
rnacentral:rRNA from 1 species